rnacentral:rRNA from 1 species
AACAAACGCUGGCGGCGUGCCUAAUACAUGCAAGUCGAACGGGUAGCAAUACCAGUGGCGCACGGGUGAGGAAUACAUAGAUAAUCUGCCUUCGAGUCAGGGAUAACCAGUCGAAAGAUUGGCUAAUACCGGAUAAGACCACAAGAUCUGCGGAUCUAGGGGUUAAAGGUUUUUCGCUUGAAGAUGAGUCUAUGCGAGAUUAGCUAGUUGGUGAGGUAAUGGCUCACCAAGGCGACGAUCUCUAACUGGUCUUAGAGGAUGAUCAGUCACACUGGAACUGAGACACGGUCCAGACUCCUACGGGAGGCAGCAGUAGGGAAUAUUGCGCAAUGGGGGAAACCCUGACGCAGCGACGCCGCGCGAGUGAUGAAGGCCUUCGGGUCGUAAAGCUCUGUCGUAUGGGAAUAACACAAUGAAUGUACCAUGCAAGAAAGGAUCGGCUAACUUCGUGCCAGCAGCCGCGGUAA